rnacentral:rRNA from 1 species
AGAGUUUGAUCAUGGCUCAGGACGAACGCUGGCGGCGUGCUUAACACAUGCAAGUCUACCAAAACCAGGUAGCAUUAUCUUUAGUAAAGUGGCGUACGGCUGCUUAACACGUAAGUAAUCUACCUUUGGGUUCGGAAUAACUUCGGUAAAUCGGCGCUAAUACCGGAUAAUGCAGCGGCACCGGAUGGGGAUGUUGUUAAAGAGUGUGUAAUGCCUAAAGAUGAACUUGCGUCUGAUUAGCUAGUUGGUGAGGUAAUGGCUCACCAAGGCUGCGAUCAGUAGCUGGUCUGAGAGGAUGAUCAGCCACACUGGAACUGAAACACGGUCCAUACACCUACGGGUGGCAGCAGUAGGGAAUAUUGGGAAAUGGGCGAAAGCCCGACCCAGCAACGCCGCGUGCGCGAAGAAGGCCUUCGGGUUGUAAAGCGCUUUUCAGAGGGAUGAGGAAGGACAGUACCUUUGGAAUAAGUCUCGGCUAACUACGUGCCAGCAGCCGCGGUAACACGUAGGAGACGAGCGUUAUCCGGAUUUACUGGGUGUAAAGCGCGUGUAGGCGGCUGGGUAAGUUGGAUGUGAAAGCUCCUGGCUUAACUGGGAGAGGUCGUUCAAGACUGCCUGGCUCGAGUGCAGCAGAGGGGAGUGGAAUUCCGAGUGUAGCGGUAAAAUGCAUAGAUAUUCGGAAGAACACCAGUGGCGAAGGCGGCUCUCUGGGCUGCAACUGACGCUCAGACGCGAAAGCUAGGGUAGCGAACGGGAUUAGAGACCCCGGUAGUCCUAGCCGUAAACGAUGUGGACUUGGCGUAGGCGGGUUGAAAUCCAUCUGUGCCGAAGCAAACGCGAUAAGUCCACCACCUGGGGACUACGGCCGCAAGGUUAAAACUCAAAGGAAUUGACGG